GCGGAUGUAGCUCAGUGGUAGAGCAUCUCCUUGCCAAGGAGAGGGUCGAGAGUUCGAGUCUCUUCAUCCGCU
rfam:Candidatus Synechococcus spongiarum 15L contig4, whole genome shotgun sequence.